AUACGGAGGAUCCGAGCGUUAUCCGGAUUUAUUGGGUUUAAAGGGUGCGCAGGCGGCCAUUUAAGUCAGCGGUUAAAUCGUGGGGCUCAACCCCAUUCUGCCGUUGAUACUGGGUGGCUUGAUUGCGGUCGAGGUUGGCGGAAUUCGUUGUGUAGCGGUGAAAUGCAUAGAUAUGACGAAGAACACCGAUUGCGUAGGCAGCUGACCAGAUCGCAAAUGACGCUCAUGCACGAAAGUGCGGGGAUCGAACAGGAUUAGAUACCCUGGUAGUCCGCACAGUAAACGAUGAAUACUUGUUUUCGGCGAUAUAAUGUCGGAGGCAAAGCGAAAGCGAUAAGUAUUCCACCUGGGGAGUACGCCAGCAACGGUGAAACUCAAAUGAAUUGACGGGG
rnacentral:rRNA from 1 species